UGGGGAACCUGCCCCAUAGUCUGGGAUACCACUUGGAAACAGGUGCUAAUACCGGAUAAGAAAGCAGAUCGCAUGAUCAGCUUUUAAAAGGCGGCGUAAGCUGUCGCUAUGGGAUGGCCCCGCGGUGCAUUAGAUAGUUGGUAAGGUAAAGGCUUACCAAGGCGAUGAUGCAUAGCCGAGUUGAGAGACUGAUCGGCCACAUUGGGACUGAGACACGGCCCAAACUCCUACGGGAGGCAGCAGUU
rnacentral:rRNA from 1 species